CCUACGGGAGGCUGCAGUGGGGGAUAUUGCACAAUGGGGGAAACCCUGAUGCAGCGACGCCGCGUGUGGGAAGACGGUCCUCUGGAUUGUAAACCACUGUCCCCAGGGACGAAGAUGACGGUACCUGGGGAGGAAGCUCCGGCUAACUACGUGCCAGCAGCCGCGGCAAUACGUAGGGAGCAAGCGUUGUCCGGAAUUACUGGGUGUAAAGGGAGCGUAGGCGGGAUGGCAAGUUGGGUGUUAAAGCUACGGGCUCAACUGGUAGUCGAACUCAAAACUGCUAUUCUUGAGUGAAGUAGAGGCAGGCGGAAUUCCUAGUGUAGCGGUGAAAUGCGUAGAUAUUAGGAGGAACACCAGUGGCGAAGGCGGCCUGCUGGGUUUUUACUGACGCUGAGGCUCGAAAGUGUGGGGAGCAAACAGGAUUAGAUACCCGAGUAGUC
rnacentral:rRNA from 1 species